rnacentral:tRNA from 1 species
GGGGCUGUAGCUCAGUGGUAAAAGUGCUUGCCUCAAAAGUGUGAGGCACUAGGUUCGAUCCUCAGCACCA